CCAGGUUGCUCCCGGGAGCCUCCAAUGCCUUGACCUCUUCCAAUGUCACCUACGGUCCCUUUAGUCUCAGCCCCAACAAAAACUUUAAUGCAGAGGAAAAGCCUGGACUGGUUUCACAGGCCUUUUAAAAAGCGGACUUAAAAGUUGCUGGCAAUGCAUUCCUUGUCAUCCGAGGCGAGGGCAAGCCCUCGCUGAAGUCUGGGUGACCCGUGUCGUUUUCCGGAGCGCAGGGUAGAGCGGCAGGAGCGGCAGCUAGUUCGGCAGGAAAUCUGUCGGAAGAUGAAGAAACCGAGAUAGGAGGUAGGGUGGGCGACUUCCCCAGGAAAAGUUCUGGAGAAGCAUCCAGAGGUGAUCCACGUUUCCUUUAUGUGCGGGAAUCGAGAUGACUUUAGUGUUACUGACCCUUUUCCAGCAUCCCUGUGAAUAUUUGUUUUUCUUCUUGGAAAGGAAGAAACUUACCCAGCCCGUGAAAGACACUCCAACUCAAGGAACUGUGGGGUCGCCCCGCAGUUGCAUGGCUUCGAAUUGAUCGACCGCGGACAUGCUCGGAACUGCUGUUUACAUGUGUUCACUUGUGUUUGACCUCACUGUACUGACUUGGGGCGAUUCGGCGAAUGUGAAAUCCCCCGUAUGUACUGUUUCCUUCUAAGCCCGCUGACCAUUCUGGAGGAUCUGGAACCCUCUUCUGGAAAGGGGUGCCUAUCAUUACUUUAUGGGGCAGCAGCCUGGAAAAGUUCUUGGGGACCAGAGGAGGCCAAGCUUGCCUGCCCUGCACUUUAUCAAAGGAGCAGGGAAGAAGGAAUCAUCGAGGCACGGGGGUCCGCACUGCAAUGUCUUUGUGGAACACGUUUGCCGAGGAGAGUGCACUUAAGUCGUUUCUCGGAUCAGAGUCCACGAUCCUGCUCCGACCCAAGGCGUGGGCUCUCCCCGAAGAUCCUUCACUGCUUUAGCCAUGGAGGGGCUCUUAUCGUAUCCUCAGAGUGGCCCGUGCUCCCCAAAGGGUUAAGACCUACAGAUCCUGGUGGACGCUAAUAUCCUUGACCUUUUCGGUCCUGAGUAGGACUUGAAAAUGCCCACUUUGGAGCCUCGUGGGAAAAAAAUGCAGUGGGGAAGCAGUAUCCUUUGCGGAUCGAGGAAACCCGGCUGUUUCUAGGUGCUUUGCCUUACCCAGGAGUGAUCGUUUCCCCCGGCGAUGGGGCUUCUAGCUUCCCCUGUCUCCCUGUUUCGCAUGACAUUUGGGGCCAGAAAGGGUGCCGUCGACAUUUGCAUGAACAGAGUUGGCAUUUGACUGCAGACUGUCUGUAUCCCACUGCACCUUUCCAGUAAUUCCGCGUGAAGUUUUAAAGCGAAGGCUCGGCUUAGACUCCUGCCUGCUACAGGGGCCGGCCGUGGACCACUUAAUUAGGGCCCUGGCCGUCGUGCUGUAGCCUGACGUUUUUCGAACCGUGUGCUUCAUAUAGGAAUAUCGACCCCACCCGCUCCAUUAGCGAAUGUUAGAAGAGCGCAUGCGGCAUCUGCUUUGAAAUUCAGCCUCAGAUGCCUUUUAACGAUGGGUGACCACGGUCAACAGAGGUCUCUGUGCCUUGCACUUGCAUGUGACCGUUGAGGUUUUACUUUCUGGCAGAAAAAUAUUUGCCUCAUCUAUAUAACUUGGGUGCUCGAAUUGUAUUUUUCCUUGAAAUAUUAGUUACAUUUUAGCACUGGUUUUAGACCGGGAGAUAUUGGAGUUUGUUACAUUCUGGUGCUUCCCCAAUUCAGGAUUUGUAAAGUGAAAUUAUUUACAUUAAAAAACUUUUUUUCUAAUGUUACUUAUUUUUGAGAGAGAGAGAGAGAGAGAGAGAGAGAGAGCGUGAGCAGGGGAGGGGCAGAGAGAGAGAGGGAGACACAGAAUCGGAAGCAGGCUCCAGGCUCUGAGCCGUCAGCACGGAGCCCGACGCGGGGCUCGAACCCACAAACUGCGAGAUCAUGACCUGAGCCGAAGUCGGACACUCAACCGACUGAGCCACCCAGGCGCCCCUGAGUUAGUUAUUUACAUUUUUAACUAGUGACGAUCAUGCAGCCUUGGAUAGUGAAAAUUGGUACAGACUUUUUGGAGAGCUUUGGUCACACUUAGCAGAAUUUAGUGUAUAUACCAAUAACCCAGGAAUCUCACUUCUAGGAAGCUAUUCUAGCACAGAACAGUAUGAUCCCCUUGGGUGUCCCUGGUACCCUUUCCGAGAGGGUCGAGAGGUUAAAACAGUGUUCAUAUUACUACAAUUCUCAGAUGCUGUUUGCACUCUUUGCACUAAUGGUGCAAAAGUCAUGCAGGCUCCUUAGCGUGAAUCAAGGCUGCAGCACCUGACUGUCCUAGGAGCCAUCGUACCCUUCGUGCCGUGCACUCGCGAUGAGUACAAUACAAUGAAAUAAGAAUUUGGUUUUCACCGGAAUGUUCUCGAUGCAGUCGUAGAACAGGUUAAAUUUAUUCACUGUUGCCGCUCAUGGAGAUGGUUUUUCCCGUAGUCUGUGGGGUGAAAUGAGAAGGUGCACGUGAACGUCUCUGCUGUGCACUGAGGUAUGAUGGUUCUCUCUCCAGGAGAAGCAGAUGGGCCGUUCUUUGAGCUGCGUGCUGAACUAGCUGCGUUUUUCACCGACUGCCAUUUUUACUCUCAUUUUACUGCCACCGACAAACAACGGUUAUUCAGUCUAAAAAAAAAAAAAAAAAAGGAUAAAGGAGUCUUUCAAGAAAACAACAGGCAGUGUAUGUUGCCAGUGAUAAAACUUCAGCUUUCCAAUGAAAAUUAGGAUUUUGGAAAACUUGUAUCUGCUACUGUGGUGUAGAGAUCGGUGGUGAUAUUUACAGGUGCGGUGCUUUGAUAGCUUAUAAUGAAAUGUAUUAUUCAGAAAAUCUGCAUAAUUCAGUGAACCCAUUUUUUCUAAGUGAUCACUAUGUGGGAUCCUAAAAUCACACACAGGUAAAAAAUCCAUCCAGGGUGCAAGGUGGGCCAAUGGAUUUUAAUGUUACAAAAGUUCCCUGAUACAGUUUUAGGUUCUACAUCACAACUAACCUUUAAGAAACGACCACUUAAUGGCGUUUUGGUGUAGCUUCUAAGAAGAAUAAAUACAGUGAUCUAAAAAGGCUACUUUUUUGGUGGCCAACAGUUAUUUUCCAGUAAUAAAAAUGUUUUUAAAUGAAUAAAUUUUAGAAUUUCAGUUUAAAUUUCUUAAAAAAAAUUUUUUUUUAAUGUGUAUUUAUUUUUGAGACAGAGAGAGACAGAGCAUGAACGGGGGAGGGUCAGAGAGAGAGGGAGACACAGAAUCGGAAGCAGGCUCCAGGCUCUGAGCCGUCAGUCCAGAGCCUGACGCGGGGCUCGAACUCACGGACCGCGAGAUCGUGACCUGAGCCGAAGUCGGACGCUCAACCGACUGAGCCACCCAGGCGCCCC